rnacentral:rRNA from 1 species
UUGGAGGGCAAGUCUGGUGCCAGCAGCCGCGGUAAUUCCAGCUCCAAUAGCGUAUAUUAAAGUUGCUGCAGUUAAAAAGCUCGUAGUUGAAUUUCGGGACCAUCAUGUCGGUCGUGCCUCGGUACGUACUGGUAUUGUUGGUUUCUCCCUUCUGACGAACCAUGAUGUCAUUUAUUUGGUGUUGUGGGGAAUCAGGACUGUUACUUUGAAAAAAUUAGAGUGUUUAAAGCAGGCUCACGCUUGAAUACAUUAGCAUGGAAUAAUGAAAUAGGACGUUUGAUUCUAUUUUGUUGGCUUCUAGGAUCGACGUAAUGAUUAAUAGGGAUAGUUGGGGGCAUUAGUAUUCAAUUGUCAGAGGUGAAAUUCUUGGAUUUAUUGAAGACUAACUACUGCGAAAGCAUUUGCCAAGGAUGUUUUCAUUAAUCAAGAACGAAAGUUAGGGGAUCGAAGACGAUCAGAUACCGUCGUAGUCUUAACCAUAAACUAUGCCGACUAGGGAUCGGAUGAUGUUAAUUUUUUUAUGACUCAUUCGGCGCCUUACGGGAAAC